AGAGUUUGAUCCUGGCUCAGAUUGAACGCUGGCGGCAUGCCUUACACAUGCAAGUCGAACGGCAGCACGGGAGUAAUCCUGGUGGCGAGUGGCGAACGGGUGAGUAACAUAUCGGAACGUGCCCAGUCGUGGGGGAUAACGCAGCGAAAGCUGUGCUAAUACCGCAUACGAUCUCUGGAUGAAAGCGGGGGACUCUGCAAAGAGCCUCGCGCGAUUGGAGCGGCCGAUAUCAGAUUAGCUAGUUGGUGGGGUAAAAGCCCACCAAGGCGACGAUCUGUAGCUGGUCUGAGAGGACGACCAGCCACACUGGAACUGAGACACGGUCCAGACUCCUACGGGAGGCAGCAGUGGGGAAUUUUGGACAAUGGGCGAAAGCCUGAUCCAGCAAUGCCGCGUGCAGGAUGAAGGCCUUCGGGUUGUAAACUGCUUUUGUACGGAACGAAACGGUUCACUCUAAUACGGUGGGCUGAUGACGGUACCGUAAGAAUAAGCACCGGC
rnacentral:rRNA from 1 species